rnacentral:lncRNA from 1 species
GCGAAGACACCUUAGAGAAGGUGUGUGAGGGCCGUGAUAGGAGCCCCAGUUCAGACCGCCCCAUGACAACGGGCGAAGACACCUUAAAGAAGGUGUAUGGGCCACGAUAGGAGCCCAAGUUCAGAACAACCCCAGAGCCAAUGUGAUGGCUGGAUAUGAGUGGACAGAGGGAUAGCCAAUGAAGUGGCUAUGAUGAGUAUGGAGACAAAUGCAGGAUUGACUUUCAUGGAUAUUGCCCCCAUGCUAAAGAUCAAUGAGCUAGAAGACAUUUGCCUUGGACAAUAAGUGUGUGACUUGUGGAGCAUUAAGACGCGGCUGCUAUGAAGAAGCAGAAGGGCAUGCGCAGGUUCCGAGAACGAGUUGACUCUUGUCAAGGUGGUGAGCUCGGUAAUGGCAUUGUAAUACUCAGAGUAUGAAGACAGAUAUGGAUCAACCUUUAAUGGGCUGCCCCCAUAGGUAAAGGUGGAGAGCUACCUGGACUCUUGAGACUAAGAGCGAGAGACUCACGGAGAAGUAAGGCGUGGUUCCUAGGGUGGAACAGAGGGCAGGCGCAACUCCUGGAUGAGUAGACUCUUGGAAGAGUGGUGAGCUCGUGAUCAUAUUGAGAUACUCAGAUAAUGACUGUCGCACUUGGAAAUAGAAAUUUCCGUUUGAGGGGGUGUUGUAAGCCUUGGUGUGAGGCUUGAUGAAUCAUUCCGGACCGAGCAUGGUUGAUACGCUCGAAGGGGAAUGCAGUGUAUCCCAGAGACAAGCGUUAACACUCUUCAGAUGUGAUGUGGCAGACCAUCUGGUUGUAGUGAUCCUUUUGUGUGAGAAAAGGUGUGCUUUGGUGACUCUGGUGAUUGAAAGGUGUGGCGAGUACCGGUAAACUCGGCCACAGACGCUCUCGGAAUGGUAAGCUUGAAAGAGCUGCAGAAUGCAAGCUUGUGCUGAAGAAGCAAGAGGACAGUUGCCCCACAUGAAUGGCAAAGGGGGUGAUUGUUGGGUUGUUGCCAUUGCAUGUGCACCCAUCCAAGAUGUCAAAGGUUGGCAGCCACCAUUGUUGAAUGAGCUGGAGUUUGGCAGCCACCAAUGUUGACAACAAAGCAAGACACAGCUGCCAUGAAAUGCCUAUAAAUAGAGGCAUUAUGUGAGAGCAAAAUGUGAGAGAAGUGAGAGUGUGUGAGAACGUGAAGAGAAAGAGGAGCUGCUGCCAUGGGCAGCAGCCCUGCUGCCAUAUGCAGCAGAGUGUGUGAGAGGGAGUUGAGUGAUCCUCCUCCAUGUAUUUAUUGUAUCCUUUCUCUAUCUCUAAAUAAUAUAGACUCUCUCCCGUGGAUGUAGGCAAUUUGCCGAACCACGUAAAAUAUUGUGUCAGUGUGCUUAACCCUCCUAUGAGCAACCAUCAGUACACCACCGGUCCGCGCAUAGGGGAGCCGGAAUUGCCCAACACUUUCGACCUCAUAUGCCGUGCUUUGAAAACCCCGCUCCUUGAAAAACAAAAGCAAAACAAAGAAACUCGAGCAUUGUGCAACGGUUCUUGAGAACAGAUUGUUUGUCAGUGUGAGCGGCAACAGAAAUCGACUUGGUGAGUCUUUCACGUUACAAAUUUUGUGCUGUAGCUCCGCAAAUACUCUGCAAGCAGCAGAAUUGUAUUAAUCUGUGCUUUUCUCGCAAUAGUUUUCCUAUUGCCCAACGGCUUGUCUGUUGCAUGAUUUCCUCUGAACUUCCUUUUGGGUGUUUUCAAAGAUCUGUUUUUUACAGUCAUUUUUAUUUAGAAAUUUAUUACAAUAAUAAUCUUUAUUUUUUAAAAUUUAUUUUUAACAUAAAUGAUUCAAAAACAAUAAAAAAAAUUAAUUUGAAAAAAAAAACCCAAUAUUAAACGGCCUGUUAUUUCUGAAGUUGCCACUGUGAUGAGAGAAUGUAAGAAGCUAAACGUGAAUACAUCACUGCAAAAGGACCAGCACAUUUGGGCAUCACAGAAAUC